CCAAUAGCGUAUAUUAAGGUUGUUGCAGUUAAAAAGCUCGUAGUUGAAUUUCGGGGUUAGUAGGUUGGCCAUGCCUCUGGUAUGUACUGGUCUCACUGAUUCCUCCUUCCUGAUGAGCCGUAAUGCCAUUAAUUUGGUGUUGCGGGGAAUUUGGACUGUUACUUUGAAAAAAUUAGAGUGUUUAAAGCAAGCGAACGCUUGAAUACAUUAGCAUGGAAUAAUGAAAUAGGACGUUCGAUCCUAUUUUGUUGGUUUCUAGGAUUGACGUAAUGAUUAAUAGGGAUAGUUGGGGGCAUUAGUAUUCAAUUGUCAGAGGUGAAAUUCUUGGAUUUAUUGAAGACUAACUACUGCGAAAGCAUUUGCCAAGGAUGUUUUCAUUAAUCAAGAACGAAAGUUAGGGGAUCGAAGACGAUCAGAUACCGUCGUAGUCUUAACCAUAAACUAUGCCGACUAGGGAUCGGAUGAUGUUAAUUUUUUAAUGACUCAUUCGGCGCCUUACG
rnacentral:rRNA from 1 species